rnacentral:tRNA from 1 species
GCCUUCGUGGUGUAGUGUUCAGCACAUUUGAUGCGUAUUCGAGAGUCUGUGGUUCGAGUCCCGGUGAAGGCA